rnacentral:lncRNA from 1 species
AGUCAGCCCUGCGGUGCGGUGGGCAUUGCCAGAGCAGGGCGCCCCCUGCAGGGACGCACCCGGGGCGGGGGCCAGGCUGGGGCGAGCCCCCCUUGGUUCUGGAGAGGAAAUGACAUACAGUUUGUGAAAGCAUAAAUAUUCGUGAAAAUAAGAAAAUUCAGGAAGGAAACAAAGCUUAAGGCAGUGAUUGAUAGGUUAUUUCUUGGACACAGCUGAACGUAUACUGUGCGCCUGCAACUUUCCGGUGGUUUCGGACCGGACUUCAGUGAAGCCAGUGAAGUCGGUCGACUUGCAGAACUUCCUUUCAGAGGGGCGUACACAGCACCGCGGCCGUGUGCCUGUGAUCUCCUUCUGAGUUUGAAAAAGAAGAUCCUAGACACCGAGCCAAAUAUGUUUGCAUAAACCGGGAGACUUGUGGCUCUAUUUUGUAACAGCUUGGCGCAGGGCAGCUGGUUUGGAGAUGUCUCUGUUCUUCCCUUGGUGGGGGUGCCGGAAAAAAUGUGCUGCCUGGGCGAUCGAGGUUGGGGCAAAAGCGUUGCAAAGGAAAAGGUGGGAGGACUCUACUUUCACAUUUCCCAAAAGAGUUUUACCAUAAGACUAUUUCUGGAUUGUUCUAACGUGAGGAUAUUGGGAGCAUUUUGAAAAUACUGGAGGAAAAGCUGUCACUGGGCGAUUUAAAUCCGGUAAGUUGGCCAAGGCAGAGCAGCUGCUGGGGUCAGCGACAGCUGACCCUUGCAGCUGAGUAUCUUGCCCUCUUAAUCUUGGAGAUCAGCCCAAGGCCCAUGUGUUACAGGAAAGGGGUCCCGAUCUAGACCCCAAGAGAGGGUUCUUCGAUCUCACGCAAGAAACAAUUCAGAGUAAGUCCACAGUGCAAAGUAAAAGCAAGUUUAUUAAGAAAGUAAAGUGGUGGCUGGGCACAGUGGCUCACGCGUAAUCCCAGCACUUUGGGAGGCUGAGACGGACAGAUCACCUGAUGUCAGGAGUUCAAGACCAGCUGGCCAACAUGGCAAAACCCCGUCUCUACUAGAAAUACAAAUAUUGGCCGGGCGUGGUGGCGCAAGCCUGUUGUCUCAGCUACUCACGGGGCUGAGGCAGGAGAAUCGCUUGAACCCGGGAGGCAGAGGCUACAGUGAGCCGAGAUCGCCACUGCACUCCAGCAGGGCAUUCCUGAAAAUAAGAGGAGGGACAUAUCCAACUAAGGACUCCCGGAUGUCAUGCAUCAGCCCUAUGAGAGUCUUGCCUCUUCUUCAACACACCUGUGUUUCACCGCUGUCCUUUGAUCAGGAGUCCUGUCUGGCAAAG